GGGCUCUGUGUGGCUUGGGGCCUCUCCUGGGAAGUUGAUGAGCUCUGCAGGGGUCAUGAGCCCAUCCCCAUUCAGGUCCUGGGUCUCGAGCACCUUGUCCACUACCAGGAUCACCUGUGGAAGCACACACAUCUGAACUCCAGUCUCA